AUGCUGAAAGCAGGGGUGGCUUUGUCCCUUUCUUUCCUGCUGUGGAAUCAGGACUCUGUUUUCCACUGGACCGGAAAUAAGGAACAGAUAAUGUCGUGGAUACCGUCCUGUGCUGUCUGGUCCCCCUUCAGGAAGGAGCGACUUCUCCCGCAGCUGCUGGGGAUGUACUAGAAGGCCCUUACCGUCGACCCCCUUUGGGGAUUGCCUCAGCUGAAGAAAACUGCCUCAGCCCAGGCCCACCUCCUCCCAGGACCACCCAGCUUCCAGUGCCCGAUCCAUGGGGCAUGAAGGCCUGGCCCCUCCUCCCAUCUUGGAGCAGCUCUGAGGGGCCAUCCAGCUUCUGACUCCCCAGGGGUUGGCUUUGCUGGGAAUCCAUCGCAGACCAACUUCUCCCUCCAUCCAAUCCUGCUUCCCCCCUCCCCUCCACAGGAGCACCCCCUAACAGAUGUUCUGUACACGAGUCUCACCUCAGAGAAUCUGCUUCCCAGAAGACCCACCUGCCACAUAGGGAAGUCAAACAAGCCAAAACAGUGUGCAAAGGAAAAUAAGCACACCUGUGCUUGCGGAUGCAUCCAG
rnacentral:lncRNA from 1 species